rnacentral:rRNA from 1 species
UACAGAGGGGGCAAGCGUUGUUCGGAAUUACUGGGCGUAAAGGGCGCGUAGGCGGCAAUUCAAGUCAUCUGUGAAAUCUCCGGGCUUAACUCGGAACGGUCAGAUGAUACUGCUUUGCUAGAGUGCAGAAGGGGCAAUCGGAAUUCUCGGUGUAGCGGUGAAAUGCGUAGAUAUCGAGAGGAACACCUGAGGUGAAGACGGGUUGCUGGGCUGACACUGACGCUGAGGCGCGAAAGCCAGGGGAGCAAACGGG